GAUGAAAACGUAGCGAAAUGCGAUAAGUAAUGUGAAUUGCAGAAUUCAGUGAAUCAUCGAAUCUUUGAACGCACAUUGCGCCCAUUAGUAUUCUAGUGGGCAUGCCUGUUCGAGCGUCAUUUCAACCCUUAAGCCUAGCUUAGUAUUGGGAAUCGACUUUACUGUCGUUCCUCAAAUUCAACGGCGGAUUUAUAGCAAUCUCUGAACGUAGUAAUUUUUUUUCUCGUUUUUGAAAUACUAUAAACCUCAGCCGCUAAACCCCCAAUUUCUUAUGGUUGACCUCGGAUCAGGUAGGAAUACCCGCUGAACUUAAGCAUAUCAAUAAGCGGAGGA
rnacentral:misc_RNA from 1 species